rnacentral:piRNA from 1 species
UGAGAGUCAUAGUAUCUCAUUGGUGUC